GGGGAUUUAGCUCAGCGGCAUAAGCGCCUGCCUUGCAAGCAGGUGGUCGUGAGUUCAAUCCCCA
rnacentral:tRNA from 1 species